CAUGAAGACCAAGGACUGCUGGACUGUUCGCGCAAUGAAGACGCGAUAAAAGCCGUAAAACAGCAUCUGAGAGCAGAAGAGAACAAAUUCACAUCAUCUGUCACUUGGGAGCAACCUGAACAGUCCUGUGUUCAGUACAAGAACAAUAAUGUCGGCAUUACGCCUGAGAAAGCUAUUUGUAUCAUAGCCUUCUUGUUUUUAGUGUUCAUGAUCUACAAACUACUCUUCUGAAUCCUGCCCUACCUUCCCCAGGAACCUGGUGAAAUACUUCUAAUAAGUUUGUUAUUUAUUAGAUAAACCGGAACAUUGGAGCAAACAAUGCAAGCUAGCCGGUGAUAUUCAUAUAAAUUACUCUAUAGAGAAUUUUUCAUCAUUUAUUCAUCUUUAGG